AUCAGGAAGGUGUAAUGGUUACACGUCAGUCUCAUAAUCUGAAGUUAGUAGGUUCGAUUCCUGCUCCUGGUA
rnacentral:tRNA from 1 species